UCAGCCAAAAGCACACCAAGAACUGGGAGCAGACAAGUAUGAUCGGACAUUUUGGUGCCAUGACUUGGAUCGCUCUGCUUAGUGUCUUCAUGGAGUUUCCUGACAUCGCUUCCCAAAGAAGCUAUAUGCACUUGCAUCAUCACAUCAGGAAAACAUCCUAUUCAUGAUAGAAUUUCACAGAGUGAAUAGAUUCAGCAGAGGAUCAGACGUCUCAAGGACACAGUCCUGUUUAUAAGAUGACGACCCCUCUCACUUCUGCUUGAUUUGUUCUAAUCAAAUCCAACUGGCUACUGGGACCAAUGUCAAUCCCACCUGAAGAGAGUUCAAUUCUCUUUGAUGAAUAAGCAGGUGAUCUCAUUUUAGUAACCCCUUCCUGAUGAGGAGGAAUCCCACAGUGCACUGCUCAGAUGGAGACAUACAUGCUCAGGUUGAGGUGAGUGGUUUUUUUGUUGUUUGUUUGUUUUUUGCCAUAGUAGACAGCACUACGUUUUUUAUCCUGCACACCAUUCUCAGAAAUAACCCAAAUGUAGUUUCAUCAUUUACAAAUACAUAAACAAGCUUAGUCAU